ensembl:lncRNA
GAAGACUUCAACAUGAAACUCUACUGAAGUUAAAUCAUGUAGAGAUUGUUGACCGGGAAGUGACAGUUUCAGAGGUAAUCGUGCAUCUUAUUCCUGCAGUUUAUCGUGGAUAUGUUUUCAGCUAUGGGACGCAGAACAAAGUUGUGUGUUUGUUCGCGCUCGCCUGUGUGCCUGGAUUUGUGCGAGGUUAGGAUUAACCUCGGCUCAUGCUGAUUGGAAUGACGUCCAACACUGGCUCACUCACAGGCUGGAAGCCGCGUGUGUGUUUCGGGUCAGACAGAAAGAAGGAGGACACGGUGAUUACAAUUUACUGUCAACAUGACGCCGACUGCGUCGCCUUUAAUCUCUCACCUCACGUACACAAACGCACCCAAUGAAGGUUUAGCAGACCGACUGCUCCGCUGUACCUGGCGCGGUGCCUUUUGGCCCGGCUGUAAAUGGUUUACACAGGCGGCCCGGUGCUCGUGUAAUCUCUCUCUCACACUUGCGCGCACACUUCACAAUGUAAAUAAUCCACUUUGACAGUUUUUUAGAAACUUUUAGUAAAAUAAAUUAUGCAGCAUUCACCUCUUAUUCCUCUUGUAAAUAUGCAUCAAGGAGUCUUGGAUUAGGGGCUGGAAUCCUUUCCUAAAGCUCAUUGCAUGUGUGUGUGGUUGCGUCUUAAGCCAGG